rnacentral:rRNA from 1 species
UUGGAGGAGUUUGAUCCUGGCUCAGGACGAACGCCUGGCGGCGUGCUUAACACAUGCAAGUCGAACGGAAAGGCCCAGCUUGCUGGGUACUCGAGUGGCGAACGGGUGAGUAACACGUGGGUGAUCUGCCCCUGCACUCUGGGAUAAGCCUGGGAAACUGGGUCUAAUACCGGAUAUGACCAACUGUCGCAUGGUGGUUGGUGGAAAGCUUUUGCGGUGUGGGAUGGGCCCGCGGCCUAUCAGCUUGUUGGUGGGGUAAUGGCCUACCAAGGCGACGACGGGUAGCCGACCUGAGAGGGUGAUCGGCCACACUGGGACUGAGACACGGCCCAGACUCCUACGGGAGGCAGCAGUGGGGAAUAUUGCACAAUGGGCGCAAGCCUGAUGCAGCGACGCCGCGUGAGGGAUGACGGCCUUCGGGUUGUAACCUCCUUUCACCAGGGACGAAGCGGAGAGUGA